rnacentral:rRNA from 1 species
GACGAACGCUGGCGGCGUGCUUAACACAUGCAAGUCGAACGAUGAAAGAGAAUCCGAUCUCUUCGGAGUGAAGAAUCUCUGGAUUAGUGGCGGACGGGUGAGUAACGCGUGAGCAAUCUGCCUUACACAAAGGGAUAGCCUCGGGAAACCGGGAUUAAUACCAUAUGAUAUCUAUUAACCGCAUGGUCUAUAGAUUAAAGAAUUUCGGUGUAAGUUGAGCUCGCGUCCCAUUAAUUAGUUGGUGAGGGUAACGGCCCACCAAGAUAGCGAUGGGUAGCCGAUAUAAGAGGAUGACCGGCCACAUUGGAACUGAGAAACGGUCCAAACUCCUACGGGAGGCAGCAGUGGGGAAUAUUGCAAAAUGGGGGAAACCCUGAUGCAGCGACGCCGCGUGAGCGAUGAAGGCUUUCGAGUCGUAAAGCUCUGUCCUAUGGGAAGAUAAUGACGGUACCAUAGAAGAAAGCCCCGGCUAAUUACGUG